ACUGACGCACUGAGAGUUUAUUGGAAAGUUUCAUAACUGCCUGUGCCCUGCCAUGUUACAACACUGCACUCAUGCGCUCUCGCUGCCUCGCUCAUACACAGACAUACACGCAGUACAACAGCACGAAGAGCACUCACACACAGCACAGCUGCCGGACGGAAACUGGAAGUGUGGUUUUGCCCUUUUGCGGAGCUUUGCUCAGCACUCAACUUGGAGGGCAGAACACUGUGAUGCUUUUUUAAGCACUGCUUUUCCUGUUCCAGCCCACUCACCACCAGGGCAACAGUCUUUGACCUGCCAGGAAGCCUCAACAGCGGCCACACAGGCGCCUCUGUCACCUCUGCAAAAUCCUCCAGAGAAAGCCCUGGCAGCUCUGCGUGCACAAAGACUGCAGGAGCAGGCUCGCUGUCAGCAAGCCUUCAAUUUUUACUCUUCAUCUGAUUUCUGCCACAACACACAUCCAUAAACAUUUAGUCCCUGCUGUGGUAUUUUGGUACUUGCAAACUGUAGGGCAGCAGACAGAAGAUAAAUGGAGGCAACCUUUCCCCCGCACCUUUUCUUUUAAUUCUGAAACUCAGAAAGGUCAGAUUUGGAUUUAAUUUUGUCCUGCACAAUGUUUUGGGUUGGUUCGUAUUUAUUCCAAGUGAGUUCACCCAUUUCUUCUGUAGAAAUAAAAGGUCAUGAAACCACUGAGUUCUCUCCUUCCUAAAAGAGGCACUCCCUUGUAAGGAGUGAAUUACCAAUGAAACAAGAAAAAAAAAUAAUGCAGAAAUAUAUUCUGUUCCUGCUGGGCAGGUGGAACUGUAAUCACAGCUAAGUGUAAUUAGAAAAUGCAUAAGGAUGCACUUUGGAUGACACUGCCUUGCACCAAUUUUUAAGCAAUCUGUUUAAUUUGACUGAUGAACUCAGGGUAAGAAAAUAAUAAAAAAAAACUGGUAAUGUUUAUUUAUUUAUUUUUUUUUUUAAAAAAAAGGUUGUCUUUCUUUCUGUAGUAAUUAUUUGUCUAUGCAGCACUACAAGCCAGCUGGUUUGGGGGACUGGAAGAACAGAGGACAGGGAAGGGAGGGUUGGAUCAUUUUAUACAUAAAAUCAAUCUAUAUUAACCCUCAGCUAAUAUGCAUGUUAAGGGCUAAUACAGAGGUUACAAAAGAGAUGCAUGCAUGCAUAUACGUGUGUGGUAUGUGUUACUUUUAUUAGUUGUUUGUUUUAGAGGUUGGCUCCAAAUUUUUUUUUAUUUGAACAAUUGGAGGAGUGAGAGCAUCCAGAAUUGAACUUUUAGCUCUGACUGACAUAAAUUGCUUUUCAAAGCCAGGUUUUGGGUUCAUUGACUCCAUUUGAGUUUUCUUGUUUUCUUUAGUACAAGAAUUUGCCAUGUCAUUUGAAAUGUAAACAUAUCUAAACUUAUUCUGCUGAAAUAAAACAGAAAUUUUUUGACAUUUUCUGAGUUCAUUUACUGUAGUACAUUGCUUCCUACCCAUGCUUUCAACAGAAAAUCAUCUUGGUUCAAAUGUUUUAAAGAAUUUUUGGAAAGGCAAAAUGCCUUCCAGCACUACUUUAAGAACUCGAUAGUAAUGAAAAAGAAAAGUACAGGAUUCUAAAUAUUUCAAUGAUGAAUUGUUAAUGCUGUGUAACUGUCUUUCUCUAUGAGAGGACCUAAACUUUUGUUGUCAGCUACUGUGUUAAAUCUUAGUUAAGAGGUUUAAUGAAAACAUGACGAGGAGCCACCUGUAUUUAUCUACAUAUUUCUACUAUUUUAUAAAGAAUUACUAUCUUGUCAUCAAAGUCAAAUGCUGAAAUAGUUGAAGUCCCAAUUCAGCUCAAAAACAACAACGAUGUUCUAAAGAAAUAAAAUUAAAAAAAAUAA